CUUUUUUUUAGGAAAACUCUUUACUUUCCAAGUAUAUACUGUAAGAUAUUUUUAUUUGGGUUAGCCUGAAGCUUUUAUGUCACCUGUACGUGUGUUGAACUUUUUUUUGCAUGCCAAAGCUCUUUGUACGUGUCAAAGAUGGAUUGUACCCAAUAAAUGUUCUACGUAACUUUUUUUCAUCUUUUUAUCUCGGCCGUUAUAAUUAGAAUCAAUGGAUAAUAAUUUUUUAGCAUACGUGGACGAACGUGAUGGCUUGUUUGACUCUUAUUUUAAUUAUAUACUAGCAAAAAAGCCCGUGCGUUGCAACGGGAGAAAAAAAUACCUCACACCCUAGCCCAAUAAAUUUAAUUAGUGAUGUUACAAUAAUUUAUAUACCAGGAAAGAUGUAAUCAAAAGGAUAAUUUAUAAACUGCUAUUGAUCUCGCAAGAAAAGAAUAAUUUAUAAGUCGGAUGUGAAACAUAUUUUUUGAGUUCGCCGUGUGUGCCAUAACCCCCUCCCAGUUGGCGUGCGGGGCGAAACAGACGCAAGAAAGAUGCAUUGUUGUCGCACUCUCUCUACUCUUCAUUCCUCCUCUCUGUUCCCUAUCACACCAACGACAUCGACGACAACCAGAUUUGAGGUAUAUGUUGAUGGUCAGCAAGUACCAGCAAUGGUGAGCCAGGAAAACUUAAUCCGGGGGCCAACUAAUGUUAAAUCACGUUGAGGAGGGCCAAAGUCAACAAAAUCACCGUAAAACACAAUAUUAGCAGCAGGUAAUCACUCAUUUAGUGGAAAAAUCUACAUGUUGGCCUCGGCCGGGGCCCCUGCUGGCACCCCCUGCCUCCGCCAUUGAGUACCCAUGAGCCCCAAAUAUCUUCUCCCUUAAAAAUGGUAUUUCUUUCCAAUGUUUCACUCACUUUUAAUUAGUCUAUCUGAUAAUGUAUUUGUAAGGAAUGGUUGGCAUGAAUAUGAAACUAUGAUAGUAACAACAGACAACAAGAAAUAAUUAUAAUUGAUGCUCAUCUGAAAAACAGUGCUAGCACGCAUAGCAUCCAGCCAUGGUUUUGUAGGUUUUAUGUUUCAUUUUGAAUAAAUUACCACCCUUGAAUGAAAUGAGUGAAUUUUGGAAUUUUUCGGAAGACCUCAGGCGAAAUGGACAAUCCAAAAUUUGAAUUUUUGGACAAAACAAUGGGCGAAAUAUGAACGAAAAACUACCAAAAUUGUACAAAUGUUUUGAAUCCUGCAGCAAUGAAAUAAAGCAGAAUCACACUGAAUAACACCGAUCCCUUGAUUGAUAUACGCCCAGGAAUAGGUCAAAACAAUACAAAAUAGCACAGUACUUACAUCCAUGUGUCACCAGCCGCUCGGAUGGGCACGUCUGCAUCCAGCAGCUUCCAGUCCACAGUUGAUUAAUAAAAAGGAAAAAAAAGCAACAGGCACCAAAUAUCCACCGAUGUCACCGCCCACUGCGUGCCUUCUUAUCCACAACACAUCGCCAUUCCUCAUCACCCAAGCGCCGUUCCGCCUCCAUCUUCCUCCUGCUGCCUGACCACGCAUCGUUGCUCCUCCUCUUCCUCUCCUCUUCUCCAUCCACCUCACCACCCAAGUGUUGCUCUCCUGUUCUUGGCCGCGGUGGCUGGCCAGAGCCACAUCCCAGCUGCCAGCAUCGGUGUGCUUUCUGGCUACGGCUGGGGCGGCGGUGGCCUGCUCGUCGGCGCACUGGGGCCAAGGCGGAGCCUCCUCCCGUGCAGUGCUGGUGGUGGAGCCCCUCCUCCCGGAGGGUGGCUGGGGCAACCGGGGUUGCGGGGCAGGUGUGCAAUUGGCUCGGUUGCGCCAGAUCUGGCGGCCGGCCAGCACACACGGGGGCGGUCUGGUGGUGCUGCUCUUCUGCCGGUGGCCACGGAUGUGGGAGUGCCGAAGCUACCUCCGGUGAAAGCCCCCAGGCCCUGGUUUUCUCUUCCAUGAGCUGGUCUCUGUACCACGAAUCAAUAUGGGCAUCAAUUUUCUCUGUAUCUUCAGUUCGUCUCUCUCUCUCUCUCUCUCUCUCUCUCUCUCUCCUUCUUUAGGAUUAUUAUCUCAAAUGGCAAUUAAGCUGAGAUCUUUUUUUCUAUUAUAUUAGGCUUGUCACCCAUGGUGCUUUUCUUUGGAUUCAUGCGCCUCUCCUCUCUGCUCAUUUUCGAUUGGUGACGCAUAUAAUACAUGCGGCAGGUCGCUUUCUUUAUUUCUCUAGGAGCAGAGUGGGACUAUUAAUUGGCAGGCACAAGACUUGGUUCGUAAGGCAGGGAGAGCUGGUGAGGGUUGGGCCGCGCUGGGGAGAGGAGGGGCUGAAGCGGAACGGUGGUGCCGGUUGAUGCGAUCGCCGGCGUCCGCCGGACAGCGCGGCAGCGGAUUGAGGGUCGCGUGGGUCACGAGCCUCCUGGCGGCUGGGAUCUGGAGGCGAGGGAGAGAAAGAGUCCGUCCUCAUGUCUGUUCAUGUUUUUUUACAAUCCAGGGCAAAACCUUUUCUCACUUUAAAAAAGGAGUGCGGGUUGAAUUACCUAAAAGAUAAGGGCUUUUCUGCAAAACUGCCACAAACGCCGGACGCCUAGAAACCCAAUUCUCUUAUUUAUUAUAUAUAAUUUAAUUAAUUAAUUAAUUUAAUUAUAUAAUAGAUUGGUGAUACUCGCCUAAGCUUAUAUGCUGCUCCCUCCGUUCCUAAAUACUUGUCUUUUUAGGCAUUUCAACAAGUGACUACAUACGGAAUAAAAUGAGUGAAUCUACACUUUAAAAUAUGUCUACAUUCCAUAUGUGAUAGUCAUUUAAAAUGGCUAGAAAGACAAGUAUUUAGGAACGGAGGGAGUAAUUGCUUGUGCACAAUAUGCCCAUCCUGCUUACAUACUAUUUUUAGCACCGCAAAGGAUGUCAGAUGAUACAUAUUUUGUCGUGUUAUUUGCCUUGUGUUGGUUGAUAAUAUUAAUUCUUCAAUUCUUCUGUGGAUCAGGUCGACGAUAUCCUUUUGGAUAUCUUCAUAGAAGAAACGAAAUCAUGAUAUCCGGGGAAGGCAAGGGAAAAUAGUGUAUGUUGUUUUUUUAUUUUGAAGAACAUGUCUUAGCCCUUUGAUUCAAAAUGUCAGAUGUAGAUGUGGUUCUGUGACCUACUACAAAUACUUCAUCCAUAUUCUGCUUAUAUAGAACUGCCUUGAUUCA